ACAGGGGCUGGGAGCUUCAAGGUCAGAGGGACACAAUAAGAACUUAAGAGGUGUGAGGUGGUGGGGAGGGCUGCCACAGCCUGGGUACAGGAAGCAGGCAGGGAGGGAGGGCUUCCUGGAGGAGGCGGUAUCUGAGCCAAAGCAAGGUUAAGUCAGAGUUAUCCGGGGAGUACAGGAGAGAGGGCAUUCCAGGGCAGCGGGAACAGCAGGUGUAGUGGGUGCAGUGGGAAAUAACCUUGAAUGACCUUGAGCUUCCCUCUUGGGCCCUCGGGCGGGCUGGUACCUGACUUCCCCUUUCCCACACAUUUACUGUUAGCUCUCUAUUUUUAUUUGUCUUGAUUCCCAGUCCGGGUGAGUUAAGAUAGUUCUCACAUCUGUCCGCUCCGCCCGCCCGAGCACACAGCAGCAGUCGACCGCAGCUUCCUGUCUGCCUUUUCACGGAGGAGGAUGAGUGUGGCCACCCGGCCGUGGGGGCCCCAACCCGGCUGCUCUGCACGGUGGCUCCGCGGCCACAGGAGUCUCCCUGGGAGUCUCCACGGGCUCCUGGUGCCCGGGCCAAAGGCUCCAAGGCUGGUCCCUCAUUUCCAGCAGAAAACUGUUUUCCUGGACUGUCUUUUUCUUGGCUUACGGAUUUGUGACUGCACUUUCCCAAGAAGUGUUGAAGCUCGGCUCACAUUUUUGUGUGGAGAACCAGCUAACCCCUUCCUCAAAGUUUUUGUGAGGAAAAGUAAUUUAAAUGUUUGAAAAAGAGUUGUAACCUGGUAAAGUGCCUCCGAAGGCUGCUGAGUGCCUCAGAGAGCAGGUACCGCGUGCUUGCUGCGUGUGGGUGUUCGGGCCAGGUACUUUGGGGUUAUGUGUGUCAACGUGACCUGGUCCCUACCUGCCAUCACCUGGGGGGGGGGCUGUGAACAAUUCCUGUCAGUGUUGAUAGGAGACAGUGAGACUGUGCCAUCAACGGUAGUCUCCGUGACCCUGGACCCUCAGAACAAGCCUGCGAAGUAGGUACUAUCAUAUUACCUUCUAUGAGUAUCCCCAUUUAACAGAUGAGAAACUGAGGCCCAGAGGGAUGAAGUAGCUUGUCCAGGAUCAAAUACAUAGCAAAUACUGGAACUGGGAUUUGCAGCUGGCAAUUGAGAAGGAGGCUGGAAUCCAGAGAAGAGGGUUCUGGAGUUCAGAGGGGAGUCCAGCUUCCCACGGGGGGUGGGGGGGGAGGAAGGUGACCUGGGGUGGGUGCAGGCCAGAGCGGGGAACGUGUUUCCUAGGCAGCCUGCAGGGAAGACUGAAAAUGCCCCAUGUUUGGGGGUGGGGGAGACGCUGAUGAGAGUCUGGGGAGCACAGGAGGGGCACAGGGAGAGGUGGAGAUGUGGCACUCAACUGGGGCUCCCGGGGACUUUUUUUUUGGCCACCCGCAGCAUAUGGAGUUCUGGGCCAGGGAUUAGAUCCCAGUUGCAGGUGCCACCUAGCCUGCAGCUGUGGCAAUGCCAGCUCCUUAAUCCACCGUGCCGGGCUGGGGUUCAAAUCUGCGUCCCAGUGCUCCUAAGACACUGCCGAUCCCAUUGCACCGCAGGGUUUGACUUUUAAUGCAGGGGUGACAGAUGGCUGGUCUGUCCACAUGCUGUCACAUGGGCAGCUCCUACGGGUCACCAGCACCCUUCCUCCGUUUCUUCAAGGGACAAAGCGACUUUGCUCUAGAGCAGAACACUGAUCGUCCCACACAUAUGUCCCUACUUUUGUUGCUGUCGCUGUGAGGUUUUUAAACUGGAGACCAUUUCACUUUCACACACCAACCACAAUGUCGAAUAAAUUGGUUGAACUUGUAGAUUUAUAUCCGCA
rnacentral:lncRNA from 1 species